AGUGAACGUUGGCGGUAGGCCUAACACAUGCAAGUCGAACGGCAGCACAGUAAGAGCUUGCUCUUACGGGUGGCGAGUGGCGGACAGGUGAGGAAUACAUCGGAAUCUACUUUUUCGUGGGGGAUAACGUAGGGAAACUUACGCUAAUACCGCAUACGACCUACGGGUGAAAGCAGGGGAUCUUCGGACCUUGCGCGAUUGAAUGAGCCGAUGUCGGAUUAGCUAGUUGGCGGGGUAAAGGCCCACCAAGGCGACGAUCCGUAGCUGGUCUGAGAGGAUGAUCAGCCACACUGGAACUGAGACACGGUCCAGACUCCUACGGGAGGCAGCAGUGGGGAAUAUUGGACAAUGGGCGCAAGCCUGAUCCAGCCAUACCGCGUGGGUGAAGAAGGCCUUCGGGUUGUAAAGCCCUUUUGUUGGGAAAGAAAAGCAGCAGGUUAAUACCCCGCUGUUCUGACGGUACCCAAAGAAUAAGCACCGGCUAACUUCGUG
rnacentral:rRNA from 1 species